UCAGUUAAAAAAGUCCUGGGGCCAAUUGAGGAUCAGUGGUAGAGGAGGGAUUUCCGGAUCCCCCGAAGAAAGACAAACGAAAGAAAGGAGAGGGAAGGUUUUCUGCCAUUUUUUGGAGGAAGAAUUCAACAACCAUGUAAAUGUGGGUAGCUAGGGUCAACAGGGGCUAUAUGAAACAGUUUAGGGCAGGUGCAGAAACAAGACAGAAGAUACAUUGAUGACAAGCCUUACCAGACGGGAGAUAGUAACGCCCAGCAGUUGUCCCUGGAAGGUUUUAAACUGAAGUUAUUAACAAUGGAACAUUUCUCUUGGUGGGCUUUCAGAGAGUGAGCUACUAGCAAAAGUGCAUACACAGGCUGGACCAAGACUAUGUGCCAACUACUGCAGAAAGAAAUAACGUACUGCGGAAAAAUACCUCUCUUAACACAGGCAAGGAGAGCAAGGCAAAGAAAUAUUCAGUAUUUUCUUGGAGACCAACCAUCCAGCCUUACCAUCUCUUUUCCCCCAUAUCAACUCCCCUUCUUUCUCCCUUAAGAAAAGAACAAGUCUCCAAGAGACAAGUACUCAAUACAACAACACAAAUUACAAGAAGACAAGGUUCUCAAAGAAGCCACUAGAAGACAACAGAAACCUUGGAACUGGAGUCUCAAGCAGGUGAGAUGCUGGAUCUGUGGCAAAUUUGGUAGAGAGCAAGCCUAAUAUACAAGAGACCCUGUGUUCUAUUCCCAUUGGUAACAACACAACAAUGACGACAACAACAAGAAGUAUAUCAAGUGGUUCUUAACCAAAACAGACACAAGACUGAUGGUCAAUAAAGUCUACGUUGCUGACAGAAAGAAUGGCUGCUGAUACUAUUCCAUUUUAUUCCCAUUACAGAGUAUCAGCGUCCUGAUGGAAGAAAGCAAUGUGUCAGAUUAAAAAUAAGAACAAAGCACAUUAUAUCAGACAAAAAGCAACUGGGAAAUGAUGAAGGCAGUAUAAGAUUCAGCUCAAUUCCAUAAUUCUUCAAUGAAAGCCAGCUGUUAACAAUUUGCAUGGUGUAUAAAAGAAGUCUUAGAAAAAUGGAAGAAUCUGUUUGACUGAAAAUGAUGGGACUCGCGGGUAAUGAAUGUCUCCUCAGAUAACCCAUGAGAAAAGUAAUAAAAUGAAGAAACAGAUGAAAAUUACAGAAAUAGAAACCUAAUCUUAGACAGGUAGGAAAAAUCAGAAAUGAAAAGAGAAAGUUGAGAGAGUAGAACAGAGAGGAAACAUUGCUAAAGAGGUCAUGAGAAGAUUCUAAGAGCCAGAUGACCAAGCAGUCUGAUGUGAAAAUCUAUCUCCUAGAAAUGAUUCCUGGCAGCAAAAGGAGGCAAAAUGUAUGCAAAGUUCACUCUGGAUAAACAUUGUGUUUCCUGGGCUUCCUUAUAGAACACAGGCAGGUAUGAGGACCCAUGCCUGCAGUUCCUACACUAGUGAGAUUUUGGUGGAAGAGAUGAUUGCAAAGCGGAAGCUUCUUGGAAAUGGAUGAGCUAAGUCGGUAAUUUUAAGGACUCUAUUACAACUUUAUGUAAAUGGAGAACCAAGAACAGGAAAGAAGACCCACAGAGACUGGCACUGGUACUAGAAACUGGUGUCUGAGUGAUUUGUGUGGUGAUUCCUGGACGCUAACAUAAAAAAUGUUAUUAAAUACACUACAUAGUUAACAGUUUUGUAUAUUAUAUUGCUUCUUCAGCUAAAACUCUGAAUGGCAUCAAGACAUCCGGGGACGUUGUACGUUUUGUGCUUUAAUUGGAGUGUUGAGCAAUAUGCUAAGUGGAUAAUUUGAAAAGUGAAAUAUUUUAUAUAUUGAGAGCAAUUAAAACAAAGACUAACAGUUUCAGCUAACAGGAACCUCAGGCAUGGAAUCACACUGCCCAAGUUCUUAGUGUAUGUGGAAACCAGAGGAAACCAGUGGAAACUCAAGCUGUGAAGUGAAACAAUCAUUUUGUUGGCCUUUGUUUCUUACACAAGAGAAGUUA
rnacentral:lncRNA from 1 species